GCGUUUGUGGUUUAGUGGUAAAAUCCAUCGUUGCCACGACAGAAAUGUCAGCAGUUUCGAUGGGCCCCGGGUUCGAUUCCCGGCGAACGCA